UACGUAGGUGACAAGCGUUGUCCGGAUUUACUGGGCGAAAGAGCGCGCAGGCGGUCGAUCAAGUCGAGUGUGAAAGCCCCCGGCUCAACUGGGGAGGGUCAUUCGAUACUGAUCGACUCGAAGGCAGGAGAGGGUAGUGGAAUUCCCGGUGUAGUGGUGAAAUUCGUAGAUAUUAGGAAGAACACCGGUGGCGAAGGCGGCCCACUGGAUCGGUACUGACGCUGAGGUGCGAAAGCGUGGGGAGCAAACGG
rnacentral:rRNA from 1 species